CGGACUUAUUUCUCCUCGCCACUAGAUAAAUAAUACACUAUUUACAACCCUCGAAAAAUAGAGUAGUUGGCGUUGACUGUAAUUGGCAAUAGUGCCGCUUUUGAAUUUUGAUGCUAACGUUGUGUUCAAACCCUAACGGCAUUUUUUAAAUAUAUUCCAAACUUGUUUGAUCAACAAACAUUACAAUAAUAUGCCGCCCAGUGAGUUGUUAAGAUCAAACCAGUUGCACAGCAUCAAUAAACCCAGUGGUCAAACAUGCAGAAGACGUCUGCAAAAUAAUUUUGACGAAUGCGACAGAGCGGAAGCGAAAACCGCAGAUAGGAGUGUUUUAUCUGUGUUAUCAUUUAAUGAUAACACGCGAAGGGCACUACGCAAUGGAGCAGAAAGACUAACCAAAACUUUGAAUGCAGUUCGAACCACAAUUGGAACAAUCACACAAAAGUUCCGGGUUUCCACAAGACGUAGGCAGAUAUUGGAAGAAGGUCCAAUGACGCCAAACUGCGCCACACCACAUACUUUUUCAAAGCAGAUGCUGGGACGAACUCCAACCAAGUUGUAUAGCCCUUUUGGUAUAGAUACACCAAUCAGUAGGAACACACAUGGAAAAGAAAAUCAACCAUAAGAUGGUAUUUUAAUAACUUAAUAAGUAUGGUGUUUUAGAAUUAUGCAUGUUUCGAAAUAAUUGAGUAUUAGAAGUCAGUGAGACUGAUUCAGGUUUUUUUUGUAAGAUACAUUACAGUUUAAGUAAUGUAGAGUUUUAAGUAUUUAUUUACUUUAAAACAAUUUUUAAUAAACAUUAUUUUAGUA